CCUACGGGGGGCUGCAGUGGGGGAUAUUGCACAAUGGGGGAAACCCUGAUGCAGCGACGCCGCGUGGGGGAAGAAGGAUUUCGGGAUGUAAAGCCCUAUCAGCAGGGAAGAGGAGAUGACGGUACCUGAGGAAGAAGCCACGGCUAAAUACGUGCCAGCAGCCGCGGUAAUACGUAGGGGGCAAGCGUUAUCCGGAUUUACUGGGUGUAAAGGGUGGGUAGGCGGGCAGGUAAGUUAGAUGUGAAAGCCGGAGGCUCAACAUCGAAACUGCCUCUGAUACUGUUGGUCUAGAGUGUCGUUGCGGCAGGCGGAAUUUGUGGUGUAGCGGUGAAAUGCGUAGAUAUCA
rnacentral:rRNA from 1 species